rnacentral:rRNA from 1 species
AUUGAACGCUGGCGGCAUGCUUUACACAUGCAAGUCGAACGGUAACAGGUUAAGCUGACGAGUGGCGAACGGGUGGGUAAUGCAUCGGAACGUGCCCGAUCGUGGGGGAUAACGCAGCGAAAGCUGCGCUAAUACCGCAUACGAUCUGAGGAUGAAAGCGGGGGACCGUAAGGCCUCGCGCGAUCGGAGCGGCCGAUGUCUGAUUAGCUAGUAGGUGAGGUAAGAGCUCACCUAGGCGACGAUCAGUAGCGGGGCUGAGAGGAUGAUCCGCCACACUGGGACUGAGACACGGCCCAGACUCCUACGGGAGGCAGCAGUGGGGAAUUUUGGACAAUGGGCGCAAGCCUGAUUCAGCCAUGCCGCGUGUCUGAAGAAGGCCUUCGGGUUGUAAAGGACUUUUGUCAGGGAGGAAAUCCUUAGCGCUAAUACCGUUGAGGGAUGACAGUACCUGAAGAAUAAGCACCGGCUAACUACGUGCCAGCAGCCGCAGUAA